rnacentral:rRNA from 1 species
AGACGUCUACGAGUUUGAUCCUGGCUCAGGAUGAACGCUAGCGGUAUGCUUAACACAUGCAAGUCGUACGGGAGUUUUUAACUCUAGUGGCGGACGGGUGAGUAACACGUGAGAAUUUGCCUUUAGGAGGGGGAUAACAAUUGGAAACGAAUGCUAAUACCCCAUAUGCUUUUGAGUGAAAUGGAUUUAUCCGCCUAGAGAGAAGCUCGCGGCUGAUUAGCUUGUUGGUAAGGUAAGAGCUUACCAAGGCGACGAUCAGUAUCUGGUUUGAGAGGACGAUCAGACACACUGGAACUGAGACACGGUCCAGACUCCUACGGGAGGCAGCAGUGGGGAAUUUUCCGCAAUGGGCGAAAGCCUGACGGAGCAAUACCGCGUGAGGGAAGAAUGCCUAUGGGUUGUAAACCUCUUUUUCAGGGAGGAAUAAAAUGACGUGUACCUGAAGAAUAAGCAUCGGCUAACUCCGUG